AGCAGUCGAGCGGACAGAUGGGAGCUUGCUCCCUGAUGUUAGCGGCGGACGGGUGAGUAACACGUGGGUAACCUGCCUGUAAGACUGGGAUAACUCCGGGAAACCGGGGCUAAUACCGGAUGGUUGUUUGAACCGCAUGGUUCAAACAUAAAAGGUGGCUUCGGCUACCACUUACAGAUGGACCCGCGGCGCAUUAGCUAGUUGGUGAGGUAACGGCUCACCAAGGCAACGAUGCGUAGCCGACCUGAGAGGGUGAUCGGCCACACUGGGACUGAGACACGGCCCAGACUCCUACGGGAGGCAGCAGUAGGGAAUCUUCCGCAAUGGACGAAAGUCUGACGGAGCAACGCCGCGUGAGUGAUGAAGGUUUUCGGAUCGUAAAGCUCUGUUGUUAGGGAAGAACAAGUACCGUUCGAAUAGGGCGGUACCUUGACGGUACCUAACCAGAAAGCCACGGCUAACUACGUGCCAGCAGCCGCGGUAAUACGUAGGUGGCAAGCGUUGUCCGGAAUUAUUGGGCGUAAAGGGCUCGCAGGCGGUUUCUUAAGUCUGAUGUGAAAGCCCCCGGCUCAACCGGGGAGGGUCAUUGGAAACUGGGGAACUUGAGUGCAGAAGAGGAGAGUGGAAUUCCACGUGUAGCGGUGAAAUGCGUAGAGAUGUGGAGGAACACCAGUGGCGAAGGCGACUCUCUGGUCUGUAACUGACGCUGAGGAGCGAAAGCGUGGGGAGCGAACAGGAUUAGAUACC
rnacentral:rRNA from 1 species